GAAAAAGAAGUAACUGCCGGUAACGGGAAACCGGUUAAAAUCCGGUGCAGCCCCGCUACUGUGACCUGUCCUUGAAGAUUUGAGGACUAUUUUAAUGCCACUGCUUAACGCGGGAAGGUAUUAAAAGAAGGCAAAGUUGGAAACCCUAAAAUUGUUUUUGCGCUUGAAAGCGGUUCAUAACAAGCCAUUGCAGGAUGGCGCGUUGUACCCGCUUUUAAAGCGAAAAAAAAAGUUUUGCCGCGAAACAAGGAAGCCGAGUCCGAGGAUACUUAAAAAGUAUCUGAGGCAAGGCUGACGAAGUUGCAGCGCAAAAAUUAUUUUUGCAGCUAAAAUGGGGUACAACAAGCCAUCCUAAAGGAAGCCAGGAGACCGGCCGGCAGAAUAAAACCAGC
rnacentral:ncRNA from 2 species